GAUGAACGCUAGCUACAGGCUUAACACAUGCAAGUCGAGGGGAAACGACAUCGAAAGCUUGCUUUUGAUGGGCGUCGACCGGCGCACGGGUGAGUAACGCGUAUCCAACCUGCCCACCACUUGGGGAUAACCUUGCGAAAGCAAGACUAAUACCCAAUGACGUCUCUAGAAGACAUCUGAAAGAGAUUAAAGAUUUAUCGGUGAUGGAUGGGGAUGCGUCUGAUUAGCUUGUUGGCGGGGUAACGGCCCACCAAGGCGACGAUCAGUAGGGGUUCUGAGAGGAAGGUCCCCCACAUUGGAACUGAGACACGGUCCAAACUCCUACGGGAGGCAGCAGUGUGGAAUAUUGGUCAAUGGGCGAGAGCCUGAACCAGCCAAGUAGCGUGCAGGAUGACGGCCCUAUGGGUUGUAAACUGCCUUUAUAAGGGAAUAAAGUGAGUCUCGUGAGACUUUUUGCAUGUACCUUAUGAAUAAGGACCGGCUAAUUCCGUGCCAGCCGCCGCAGUAA
rnacentral:rRNA from 1 species